rnacentral:rRNA from 1 species
UGGGGAAUUUUGCACAAUGGGGGAAACCCUGAUGCAGCGACGCCGCGUGAUUUAGAAGGCCUUCGGGUUGUAAAAAUCUUUUUUAUGGGAUGAAAAUGACAGUACCAUAAGAAUAAGGUCCGGCUAAAUACGUGCCAGCAGCCGCGGUAAUACGUAUGGACCGAGCGUUGUCCGGAAUCAUUGGGCGUAAAGGGUACGUAGGCGGCCCAGUAAGUUAGAAGUGAAAUAAUAUAGCUCAACUAUAUAAAGCUUUUAAAACUGCUAGGCUUGAGAGAUGGAAGGGAAAGUGGAAUUCCUAGUGUAGCGGUGAAAUGCGCAGAUAUUAGGAAGAAUACCGGUGGCGGAGGCGGCUUUCUGGUCAUCAUCUGACGCUGAGGUACGAAAGCGUGGGUAGCAAACAGG